rnacentral:rRNA from 1 species
AGAUUGAACGCUGGCGGCAUGCCUAACACAUGCAAGUCGAGCGGGAGUAGCAAUACUCUAGUGGCGGACGGGUGAGGAAUACGUAGGAAUUUGCCCUUAAGUGGGGGAUAACCCGGGGGAAACCCGGAUUAAUACCGCAUGACCUCGAAAGAGCAAAGUGGGGGAUCGCAAGACCUCACGCUUUUGGAGAAGCCUACGUCGGAUUAGCUAGUUGGUGAGGUAAUGGCUCACCAAGGCGACGAUCCGUAACUGGUCUGAGAGGA